GACGAACGCUGGCGGCGUGCUUAACACAUGCAAGUCGAACGGAAAGGCCCUGCUUUUGUGGGGUGCUCGAGUGGCGAACGGGUGAGUAACACGUGAGUAACCUGCCCUUGACUUUGGGAUAACUUCAGGAAACUGGGGCUAAUACCGGAUAGGAGCUCCUGCUGCAUGGUGGGGGUUGGAAAGUUUCGGCGGUUGGGGAUGGACUCGCGGCUUAUCAGCUUGUUGGUUGGGUAGUGGCUUACCAAGGCAUUGACGGGUAGCCGGCCUGAGAGGUGGACCGGCCACAAUGGGACUGAGAUACGGCCCAGACUCCUACGGGGGGCAGCAGUGGGGAAUAUUGCCCAAUGGGCGGAAGCCUGAUGCAGAGACGCCGCGUGCGGGAUGACGGCCUUCGGGUGGUAAACCGCUUUAGCCUGUGACGAAGCGUGAGUGACGGUAAUGGGUAAAGAAGCACCGGCUAACUACGUG
rnacentral:rRNA from 1 species